GAUGAAGAACGUAGCGAAAUGCGAUAAGUAGUGUGAAUUGCAGAAUUCAGUGAAUCAUCGAAUCUUUGAACGCACAUUGCUCCCUUUGGUAUUCCUUAGGGCAUGCCUGUUCGAGCGUCAUUUAAACCUUCAAGCUAAGCUUGGUGUUGGGUGACUGUCCGCUUCACGGCGGACUCGCCUCAAAAUUAUUGGCGGCCGGUACAUUGGCUUCGAGCGCAGCAGAAACGCGAACUCGGGCCCGUCGUAUUGGCUCCCAGAAGCUAUCUUCACAAUUUUGACCUCGGAUCAGGUAGGGAUACCCGCUGAACUUAAGCAUAUCAAUAAGCGGAGGA
rnacentral:misc_RNA from 1 species